AGUCGAGCGGUAGAGAGAAGCUUGCUUCUCUUGAGAGCGGCGGACGGGUGAGUAAUGCCUAGGAAUCUGCCUGGUAGUGGGGGAUAACGUUCGGAAACGGACGCUAAUACCGCAUACGUCCUACGGGAGAAAGCAGGGGACCUUCGGGCCUUGCGCUAUCAGAUGAGCCUAGGUCGGAUUAGCUAGUUGGUGAGGUAAUGGCUCACCAAGGCGACGAUCCGUAACUGGUCUGAGAGGAUGAUCAGUCACACUGGAACUGAGACACGGUCCAGACUCCUACGGGAGGCAGCAGUGGGGAAUAUUGGACAAUGGGCGAAAGCCUGAUCCAGCCAUGCCGCGUGUGUGAAGAAGGUCUUCGGAUUGUAAAGCACUUUAAGUUGGGAGGAAGGGCAUUAACCUAAUACGUUAGUGUUUUGACGUUACCGACAGAAUAAGCACCGGCUAACUCUGUGCCAGCAGCCGCGGUAAUACAGAGGGUGCAAGCGUUAAUCGGAAUUACUGGGCGUAAAGCGCGCGUAGGUGGUUCGUUAAGUUGGAUGUGAAAUCCCCGGGCUCAACCUGGGAACUGCAUUCAAAACUGUCGAGCUAGAGUAUG
rnacentral:rRNA from 1 species